rnacentral:rRNA from 1 species
GACGAACGCUGGCGGCGUGCUUAACACAUGCAAGUCGAGCGGUAAGGCCCUUUCGGGGGUACACGAGCGGCGAACGGGUGAGUAACACGUGGGUGACCUGCCCUCAGCUCUGGGAUAAGCCUGGGAAACCGGGUCUAAUACUGGAUAUGACUCCAUGACGCAUGUUGUGAGGUGGAAAGCCUUGUGCGGCUGAGGAUGGGCCCGCGGCCUAUCAGCUUGUUGGUGGGGUGAUGGCCUACCAAGGCGACGACGGGUAGCCGGCCUGAGAGGGCGACCGGCCACACUGGGACUGAGACACGGCCCAGACUCCUACGGGAGGCAGCAGUGGGGAAUCUUGCGCAAUGGGCGAAAGCCUGACGCAGCGACGCCGCGUGAGGGAUGAAGGUCUUCGGAUUGUAAACCCCUUUCGGGAGGGAAGAUGGAAUGGGGUAACCCAUUCGGACGGUACCUCCAGAAGCAGCCACGGCUAACUUCGUGCCAGCCGCCGCA